rnacentral:RNase_MRP_RNA from 1 species
UUGGAUCAUGAAGUGGUGUGAAUGGGUCCUUGCUAUAAGCUGGGCUCAGGAAAGUCCCCGGGCCCGAACUGCAGAAAUGUAGGCCCGGUAACGGGUAAAUCUUCAAGUUGGGCUUGUCUCGUGCUUCGGUGUGAGGGGCUGAGACACGUAUGUGGAGCCCAUGCAAGUUCAAUAGAAGAAAAUUGGCCAAUUUGUACAGUCAUUCACAAGGUCCGUGUGACUAACAGAACGGGGCUUAUACUUCAUGAUCCA